GGAAGAAAAUUGUACAGGGAGAGG
rnacentral:piRNA from 1 species